CAGCAGCCGCGGUAAUACGGAGGAUCCAAGCGUAUCCGGAUUUAUUGGGUUUAAAGGGUGCGUAGGCGGUUUGGUAAGUUAGAGGUGAAAUUCAGGGCUCAACCUUGACAUUGCCUCUGAUACUGCCGAGCUAGAGAGUAGUUGCUGUGGGCGAAUGUAUGGUGUAGCGGUGAAAUGCUUAGAGAUCAUACAGAACACCGAUUGCGAAGGCACUCACAAAACUAUAUCUGACGUUGAGGCACGAAAGCGUGGGUAGCAAACAGGAUUAGAUACCUGGUAGUCCACGCAGUAAACGAUGAUAGCUCGUUGUCGGCGAUACACAGUCGGUGACUAGAGAAAUCGAUAAGCUAUCCACCUGGGGAGUACGUUCGCAAGAAUGAAACUCAAAGGAAUGACGGGGGCCCGCAAAAGCGGAGGAACAUGUGGUUUAAUUCGAUGAUACGCGAGGAACCUACCCGGGCUUGAAAGUUAUUGACGAUUCUGGAAACAGGAUUUCCCUUCGGGGCAAGAAAUAGGUGCUGCAUGGUUGUCGUCAGCUCGUGCCGUGAGGUGUCGGGUUAAGUCCCAUAACGGCGCAACCCCUGCUGAUAGUUGCCAUCAGGUUAAGCUGGGCACUCUAUCGGGACUGCCUCGUAAGGAGGAGGAGGGUGGGGAUGACGUCAAAUCAGCACGGCCCUUACGUCCGGGGCGACCACGUGUUACAAUGGUAGGUACAGAGGGCAGCCACCCAGCGAUGGGGAGCAAAUCUCAAAGCCUAUCUCAGUUCGGAUUGGAGGCUGAAACUCGCCUCCAUGAAGUUGGAUUCGCUAGUAUCGCGCAUCAGCCAUGGCGCGGUGAAUACGUUCCCGGGCCUUGCACACACCGCCCGUAA
rnacentral:rRNA from 1 species